CUGCUCCGAUGACCUCAGUUUUGUGCCACGUGUCUGGGCCGCUGAUGAUCGCUGAUGGUGUUGAGGAACUGAGGCG